GUACCCUUAGCUCAGUUGGUUAGAGCAGACGGCUCAUAACCGUCCGGUCGUAGGUUCGAGUCCUACAGGGUACAU
rnacentral:tRNA from 2 species